rnacentral:rRNA from 1 species
UGGGGAAUAUUGCACAAUGGGCGCAAGCCUGAUGCAGCCAUGCCGCGUGUGUGAAGAAGGCCUUCGGUUUGUAAAGCACUUUCAGCGAGGAGGAAGGGUAGUGUGUUAAUAGCACAUUGCAUUGACGUUACUCGCAGAAGAAGCACCGGCUAACUCCGUGCCAGCAGCCGCGGUAAUACGGAGGGUGCAAGCGUUAAUCGGAAUUACUGGGCGUAAAGCGCACGCAGGCGGUUUGUUAAGUCAGAUGUGAAAUCCCCGCGCUUAACGUGGGAACUGCAUUUGAAACUGGCAAGCUAGAGUCUUGUAGAGGGGGGUAGAAUUCCAGGUGUAGCGGUGAAAUGCGUAGAGAUCUGGAGGAAUACCGGUGGCGAAGGCGGCCCCCUGGACAAAGACUGACGCUCAGGUGCGAAAGCGUGGGGAGCAAACA